rnacentral:rRNA from 1 species
UAGGGAAUCUUCCGCAAUGGACGCAAGUCUGACGGAGCAACGCCGCGUGAGUGAAGAAGGAUUUCGGUUCGUAAAACUCUGUUGUUAGAGAAGAACAGCGCAUAGAGUAACUGUUAUGCGUGUGACGGUAUCUAACCAGAAAGCCACGGCUAACUACGUGCCAGCAGCCGCGGUAAUACGUAGGUGGCAAGCGUUGUCCGGAUUUAUUGGGCGUAAAUCGAGCGCAGGCGGUCAAUUAAGUCUGAUGUGAAAGCCCCCGGCUCAACCGGGGAGGGUCAUUGGAAACUGGUUGACUUGAGUGCAGUAAAGGAGAGUGGAAUUCCAUGUUUAGCGGUGAAAUGCGUAAAUAUAUGGAGGAACACCAGUGGCGAAGGCGACUCUCUGGUCUGUAACUGACGCUGAGGCUCGAAAGCGUGGGUAGCAAACAGG